GGGAGCUUAGAUGUGGAAGCUCUUUGGAAACCAAGAAACACUCUGAAAAUGAAAAGGGAAGCAGAAGUUCUCCUUAGCUGAUUUUUCUUCUUGCCUUAUACUGGGUUCUUUAACACCAGAACAAAAAUAAAUAAAUAAAAGAAUCUUCCAGAAAUUCAUGAAGAGACUUCAGGUCAGGAAAGCCUGAACUUUCUCAUCCAACACCCGUUCAAGUCGGAGGAUGCUGAUUAAUUCAUGAUGGAAAGGAGACCUCUGUGGAUUCUAUAACUCAAAGACCCAGGCUGACGGCUGGUGGAAUAGCUACCAUCUCAAACAUGGCGUGAUGCUGCAUCAGAGAGAAAAAUAAGCUCUUGCAUUGACAAUGAAAUGUCUACCCUGUAGUGACUUGUGCUUACUUCCACUCACAAGUGAUUGCCCAGAGCUACUUACCUGGCUCCAAUCUACCACUGGGUGUGUACUUGCAAUCUACCAUGUACCUAGAAGAUGAGAGAAACAAAUUAUUAAUGAUGACCACACCCCAAUACUAACAACAAUUGCAGAAGAAUCAAUGACUUAAACAAAAAUGUGGCCAUUGAAGGAAUAGAAAAUAUAGUGAGUUUAGUGUAAAUUUAAAAGUGAUUUAUAAGUAACAUACAAAAUCCAGAAACUAUAAGAAAACAGAUUCACAAAUAUAAAUAUAUAAAGCUUUAAAAAAGUUUAAUGUAACAAAAAUGGCAUAAAAGGAGUCAAAAGUUUUUAAAAAAUAUGUUAAUGCAGUAGAUUAGGUGCUAAUUUUCUUAAUAUACUAAUAACUCAAUAAGAGAAAUUUUGUAUCUAGAAGAAAAUGAACAUGGAAAUAGGCAAUUCACAGAUAAUGGCAUUCAUCUGGCGAAUAAAAAAAUGUGUGACAUUCAGAAUAAAAUAAAAAUGAAAUACUGGUUUUCAGCCAUCACUUGAGCAAAACUGCAAAGAUACAAUGAGACUCAGGCAUUCCCAUAUACUGUGGAUGGGAG
rnacentral:lncRNA from 1 species